rnacentral:rRNA from 1 species
GAUGAACGCUGGCGGCGUGCCUAAUACAUGCAAGUCGAGCGAACGGACGAGAAGCUUGCUUCUCUGAUGUUAGCGGCGGACGGGUGAGUAACACGUGGAUAACCUACCUAUAAGACUGGGAUAACUUCGGGAAACCGGAGCUAAUACCGGAUAAUAUUUUGAACCGCAUGGUUCAAAAGUGAAAGACGGUCUUGCUGUCACUUAUAGAUGGAUCCGCGCUGCAUUAGCUAGUUGGUAAGGUAACGGCUUACCAAGGCAACGAUGCAUAGCCGACCUGAGAGGGUGAUCGGCCACACGGGAAGUGAGACACGGUCCAGACGCCUACGGGAGGCAGCAGUAGGGAAGCUUCCGCAAUGGGCGAAAGCCUGACGGAGCAACGCCGCGUGAGUGAUGAAGGUCUUCGGAUCGUAAAACUCUGUUAUGAGUGAAGAACAUAUGUGUAAGUAACUGUGCACAGCUUGACGGUACCUAAUCAGAAAGCCACGGCUAACUCCGUG